CCCUUUUCUUCCUUCUUUCAUUCUGGUCGGAGCGAAUAGUCUUUCAACUCUCUGGAACACGGGAAUUAGGGUUUAUUCACGGUGUGAAGACACACAUUCGCAACCGCGUACGGUCGCCGGAGUUAUUUCGAAUUCUCCUCCGCACUUUAUUCGCUGCUUCGAGAACGUAUUCAAUUGGAUUGGAGCGACACCGGAGCGGGCGGGAGGGAGAUAGGGAGAGGAAUUCCGUGUUUCGCGGAGGCGAAUUGUCCCCGGCGGAUCUCUCACUGCAAUCGAAUGGUGGUGUGUUCUUCCACUACAUCCUGAGAUUGAUAUCAUUGCUUGGAUAAACUCAACUUUUGCUGUUUGUAUCGAUCAAUACAAUACCUGGCAAUUGUGUUCUGCUGACAUAUUUGAUGCAAAUAGAUGGAUCCAGAAAACAGAAAGUUUGGAAGAGGUCCCAGAGAACUUACAGGUGCUGUUGAUCUUAUUAGUCAGUUCAAGUUGUUGCCUCAUCAUGAGUAUUUCUGCAAGAGGCAACUUCCACUAUCAAUUUCAGAUACACACUAUCUGCACAAUGUGGUUGGAGACACAGAAAUUAGGAAAGGUGAAGGAAUGCAAUUGGAUCAGCUUAUUGAGGAUGCUUCCUUUUCAAGAGAGAUGAAUGCAUCAAUAAAGCCAUUUGAUCUAGAUGUUCUGGGAGAAGCUUUUCAACUGAGGGAAACAUCUCCAAUUGAUCUGCCCUCUUCUGAAAAGGGUAUCCCAACUAUGGUGGGGAAAUCUAAGAGUGAGUCCAAAGACAAGGAGAAGAAGCAUAAAAAGCACAAGGACAAGGACAAAGAUAAGGACAAGGAUAAAGAUAAAGAACAUAAGAAGCACAAACAUCGUCACAAGGAUCGAAGUAAAGACAAGGAUAAAGAUAAAAAGAAAGAUAAAAGUGGCCAUCAUGAUUCUGGUGCCGAGCAUUCAAAGAAGCAUCAUGAGAAGAAAAGGAAGCAUGAUGGAGAGGAAGAUAUCAAUGAUCACAAGCACAAGAAAAGCAAGCACAAGAGCUCAAAAAUUGAUGAAAUGGGUGCAAUAAAGGUAGCAGGCUAACAAGCAGCAUGACUGGUGUCCAAUGUUUUUUGUCCUCAGAUUUUGCAGUUGAGAAUAUGAAGGGAACCUUCUACUAACUAUUAUGAAAUUUUUCUGAGAAUAGUGUAUGGGCUAAUGAAAGAUUGCUGAUAACGUGAACUGUCCUGUUGAAGUAGAUUAACGGAGUUUCAACCUGUGGAAACAAACCAUGCAUCAUGGAAUAUGGUCCCUUCAUAUGGCACUCGUGACAGAUUGUUUUUCAUCUGUUAUCCUCCUCGCUUAAUCUAAUCUAAAGGCUUACUAUUAGGCGAACCAAUUGGAGCUAUUGGGUAGAAGGCAGAGGAUGAGAUGACUAUGAGUCUCUAUAUGUCAUUUAUUAUUUUCCAUUAAGGUUGAGAAUCUGGUUUCUGAUCUUCAAUUUGUAGAUAUUUAUUAGGUUUCUUUUUCAUUUUUGGGGUGGGGGAUUUGUUUCUAGUAUGGGUUCUCACAUGUACUCCUAUAGGACUAUGAUUGUUGCAACAGAUGUUCUUGUUGUACAUACUUCUAGAAAGAAAUCAAAAUGAUGCCAUUGUUUCUUAUGCCAAA